GAACGCGAAGAACCUUACCAGGUCUUGACAUCCCUCUGACCGCUCUAGAGAUAGAGUUUUCCUUCGGGACAGAGGUGACAGGUGAUGCAUGGUUGUCGUCAGCUCGUGUCGUGAGAUGUUGGGUUAAGUCCCGCAACGAGCGCAACCCCUAUUGCUAGUUGCCAUCAUUUAGUUGGGCACUCUAGCGAGACUGCCGGUAAUAAACCGGAGGAAGGUGGGGAUGACGUCAAAUCAUCAUGCCCCUUAUGACCUGGGCUACACACGUGCUACAAUGGCUGGUACAACGAGUCGCAAGCCGGUGACGGCAAGCUAAUCUCUUAAAGCCAGUCUCAGUUCGGAUUGUAGGCUGCAACUCGCCUACAUGAAGUCGGAAUCGCUAGUAAUCGCGGAUCAGCACGCCGCGGUGAAUACGUUCCCGGGUCUUGUACACACC
rnacentral:rRNA from 1 species